AAUAGCGUAUACUAAAGUUGUUGCGGUUAAAAAGCUCGUAGUUGGAUCUCAGUUCAUGCUAAGUGGUCCACCUAAUGGUGGUUACUACUUAGCUGAACAUUUUACGGAUUUGCCUCUUGAUGCUCUUUACCGAGUGUCAUGAGCGAUCCGUACGUUUACUUUGAAAAAAUUAGAGUGCUUAAAGCAGGCAUCUCGCCCGAAUAAUCUUGCAUGGAAUAAUGGAAUAGGACCUUGGUUCUAUUUUGUUGGUCUUCGGAAUCUGAGGUAAUGAUUAAGAGGGACAGACGGGGGCAUUCGUAUUGCGGCGCUAGAGGUGAAAUUCUUGGACCGUCGCAAGACGAACUACAGCGAAAGCAUUUGCCAAGAAUGUUU
rnacentral:rRNA from 1 species